GACGUAGGUGGCGAACGUUAUCCGGAUUUAUUGGGCGUAAAGGAUGCGUAGCCGGUAAAACAAGUUACUACUUGACGUCGAGCUCAACUUGACUGAAAUUAGUAAUACUAUUUUGCUAGAGAUUGGGAGAAGUUGAUGGAAAUCUAUGUGGAGGGGUGAAAUUCGUAGAUAUUGGGUAGAACACCGGUGGCGAAGGCGGCCACCUGGGAAGUUACUGACGCUGAGACGCGAAAGCGUGGGGAGCAAACAGG
rnacentral:rRNA from 1 species